rnacentral:rRNA from 1 species
GUGCACUAUCAGCUAGUUGGUGAGGUAAUGGCUCACCAAGGCUAUGACGGUUAGCUGGUCUGAGAGGAUGGUCAGCCACACUGGGACUGAGAUACUGCCCAGACUCCUACGGGAGGCUGCAGUCGAGAAUCAUUCGCAAUGGGCGAAAGCCUGACGGUGCGACGUCGCGUGGAGGAUGAAGGUCUUCGGAUUGUAAACUCCUGUCAUGAGGGAUAAAUGGCCAGGGCAAGAAUACUGUCUUGGAAUGAUAGUACCUCAGGAGGAAGAGACGGCUAACUCUGUGCCAGCAGCCGCGGUAAUACAGAGGUCUCGAGCGUUGUUCGGAUUUACUGGGCGUAAAGGGAGCGUAGGCGGUUCGGUAUGUCGAAUGUGAAAGCCCACAACUCAACUGUGGAAAUGCAUUCGAAACUGCCGAGCUAGAGUACUGGAGAGGAGAGCGGAAUUCUUGGUGUAGCGGUGAAAUGCGUAGAUAUCAAGAGGAACACCGGUGGCGAAGGCGGCUCUCUGGACAGAUACUGACGCUGAGGCUCUAAAGUUAGGGGAGCAAACAGGAUUAGAUACCCUGGUAGUCCUAACCUUAAACGAUGUACACUUGGUGUGCGAGGAAUUGUCCCUUUGCGCGCCGUAGCUAACGCGAUAA